CCCACUUAAACUAACUUAGUUUGUUUCAUUUAUAGAAUAAAUAAAACCCAAAGAUCAAGCUUUAUUAAAAUACAGUUUACUAGUGGUUUAAAAAGCAUACAGAUUAUCCUAUCAAGUUAUCAUGAUGUGGUACUGAUUUUCAAUAUACACUUUAGUUAACGGAACACUAUAUGGUCAGGAACACAAACAUGUAUUCCCCCCUGGCCCCCUAAAUAUAGUACAAUCAAGUCUGCAGCUGCUGGCUCUGCCCCUGAUCUGCCUGCUUGGCUGACAUCAUCAGAAGUGAUUCUCUGAGCCAAUCACAAUGCUCUCCCAUAGGAUUGGCUUAAACUGUCAAGUAGGCAGAUCAGGGGAAGAGCCAGCACAAGCCAAACACAGCCCUGGCCAAUCAGCAUUUCAUCAUAGAGAUGCAUUGAAUCAUGCAGAGGGUGGAGACACUGAAUGUCAUCCACACAGUGACUAAUCAGCACUGCCCCAGGAAGCUCCUCUAGCAGUCAUCCCUAGGCUGUAAUGUAGACACUUCAUUUUCUCUCAAAAGACAGUGUUUACUGCAAAAAGCCUACUCAACAGCACAAAUACAAUAAGCUGUAGUUGUUCUGGUUACAAUAGUGUCCCUUUAAUUCACAUUGUUUAGUUGUACUUAAAUAAACUACGGAGAUAGCAAUCAGGAUUCGGCUCAUGAAAAGAUCUAAAUCUGUUAUCAUUUUCUAAGGGAUGUAUGUUUCACCCUUAUAUAUUUAGCUAGCUUUAAUUGAAUGGUAGAACAUAUAAAAAUGAAUUGCAAUAUAACAGCCAUAUAAAUAGAUCUAUAUUAAAUAUAUGAAAGUAUACUAAAAUGAUCUAUUCAAAGUUACUCUCUUAAAAUAUGUAUGAAAAACUUAUUUCAAGGCUGCAAUUAAUUUUAGCAUUUCAUUUGCAGCCAACACUUAUUGAAGUAUGCUCUACAGUACAUCAUCUCACACAAUAUAUGCAAGGUUUUUCUUUCAUACUUUCUGUAUAAACACAACUGCUUCAGGUUUGAAUUAUUAAUAAAGCCAUAUACUUGCAGAAACCACACUUUCAAAUUUUAGUCUUUUAGGAAUAGCAUUUUAACUUAUGACAAAUUCAAAACAUUUCCAUCUCAAACUUAAUUCAAAAAUAAAUGUUCUUAGAAAUACAUUUAAAUGGUCCCAUGGUACUCUUCAUUCACUUCCAAUUUCCUCAGAGUCAGGAAAAAUUUCAUCUUUACUUUCUGUUUUUUCUUCACCUUUGCCAUUUCCUCUUUGAAUAUCUUUAUCACUUUUGAGAAGUGAAUCACUGACUGAAAACUUACGCAUUUUGAUGUUUGGCAGCUUUUUCAGAUCCAAAUCCCAGUCCCUAAAAAAAAUAAUAAAAAAAAAAAAAAAUAACCCCAAAUGAUUUAUUAAUUCAUCACAACUGUACAAAGUUGUCUAAGAAAAUGUUUGAAGCAUUAUACCCAUGAGAAUGCCAUGGUUAUUAGCAAUGUUAGUGUCAUCGAAUGCCAACAAACUGCUCAAAUUCAGAUAUAUACAAACUGCUUUUCCAGGUUCCACAUAACAAAUAAACACACCAACUUUUCUAAUCUAGAGAUGAAGGUGAAACAUAGAUGUAAAUACAGACACAAAAUAGGCAGAUUCUAGUAUGUAUAAAAACUCUAAUGUAAGGUACGCUGUGCCUUUAAGACAAAGUUACAUAAAGUGCCACAAGUGCUG